rnacentral:rRNA from 1 species
UGCUACUUGGAUACCUGUAGUAAAUCUAGAGCUAAUACAUGCCUCUAAACCCGACUUUUUGAAGGGUGGUGUUUAUUAGAAUUUUCAAACCAAUGAUGAAGUUUACUUCAUGUUUGAUGACUCAUGAUAAAUUUACGAAUCGCAAGACUUUAUGUUGGCGAUGUAUCAAUUAAAUUUCUGCACUAUUAACUUUUGAUGUAAGUGUAUUGUACUUACAUGGUUUUGAUGGUUAACGGAGGAUUAGGGUUUGAUUCCGGAGAGGGAGCCUGAGAAAUGGCUACCACAUCCAAGGAAGGCAGCAGGCGCGCAAAUUACCCAAUCUCAAUACGAGGAGGUAGUGACAAUAAAUAACAAUGCAGGGCUUUUUAAGUCUUGCAAUUGGAAUGAGUACAAUUUAAAACCCUUAACGAGAAACAAUUGGAGGGCAAGUCUGGUGCCAGCAGCCGCGGUAAUUCCAGCUCCAAUAGCGUAUAUUUAUGUUGUUGCAGUUAAAAAGCUCGUAGUUGGAUUUGAGGUUUAGGGAUAUGGUCUCAUCUUCGGAUGUUGUACUGUAUUUCUUUAUCUUUUACAUGAGAAGGUAUUCUGUUCUUUAUUGGAUGGUUUAUUGACUCAUGUCUUUUACUUUGAAAAAAUUAGAGUGUUCAAAGCAGGCUUAUGCCUUGAAUACAUUAGCAUGGAAUAAUAAGAUGGGACUUUUGUCUAUUUUGUUGGUUUUUAUGGACUGAAGUAAUGAUUAAUAGGGGCAGUUGGGGACAUUAAUAUUUAAUUGUCAGAGGUGAAAUUCUUGGAUUUAUUAAAGAUUAACUACUGCGAAAGCAUUUGUCAAGGAUGUUUUCAUUAAUCAAGAACGAAAGUUGGGGGAUCGAAGACGAUCAGAUACCGUCGUAGUCUCAACCAUAAACUAUGCCGACGAGAAAUUAGUGAAUGUUUAUUCAUUGACUUCAUUAGCUUCUUCCGAGAAAUCAAAGUUUUUGGGUUCUGGGGGGAGUAUGGUCGCAAGGCUGAAACUUAAAGGAAUUGACGGAAGGGCACCACCAGGAGUGGAGCCUGCGGCUUAAUUUGACACAACACGGGAAAACUUACCAGGUCCAGACAUAAGAAGGAUUGAUAGAUUGAGAGCUCUUUCUUGAUUUUAUGGGUGGUGGUGCAUGGCCGUUCUUAGUUGGUGGAGUGAUUUGUCUGCUUAAUUGCGAUAGCGAACGAGACCUUAACCUACUAAAUAGCUACGUGAAACCUAGUUUCAUGGCCAGCUUCUUAGAGGGACUAC